rnacentral:rRNA from 1 species
UACGAAGGGGGCUAGCGUUGCUCGGAAUGACUGGGCGUAAAGGGCGCGUAGGCGGAUAGCUUUGUCAGGCGUGAAAUUCCAGGGCUCAACCUUGGGGCUGCGUUUGAGACGGGUUAUCUUGAGUUCGGAAGAGGGUCGUGGAAUUCCCAGUGUAGAGGUGAAAUUCGUAGAUAUUGGGAAGAACACCGGUGGCGAAGGCGGCGACCUGGUCCGGGGACUGGACGCUGAGGCGCGAAAGCGUGGGGAGCAAACAGG